rnacentral:rRNA from 1 species
AUUUUGGACAAUGGGGGAAACCCUGAUCCAGCAUUUCCGCGUGCAGGAUGAAGGCCUGCGGGUUGUAAACUGCUUGUGUACGGAACGACAAGUCUUGGGCUAAUUUCCUGGGAUCUUAACUGUGCCGGAAGAAUAAGCACCGUCUAACUAUGUGCCAGCUGCCGCGGUAAUACGUAGGGUGCAAGCGUUAAUCGGAAUUACUGGGCGUAAAGCGUGCGCAGGCGGUUUUGUAAGACAGUGGUGAAAUCCCAGAGCUCAACCUGGGAACUGACAUUGUGACUGCAAGGCUGGAGUGCGGCAGAGGGAGAUGGAAUUCCGCGUGUAGCAGUGAAAUGCGUAGAUAUGCGGAAGAACACCGAUGGCGAAGGCAAUCCCCUGGGCCUGAACUGACGCUCAUGCACGAAAGCGUGGGGAGCAAACAGG